rnacentral:tRNA from 1 species
CCUUCGAUAGCUCAGUUGGUAGAGCGGUGGACUGUAGAUGAUUUAAUGUCUUUGAAUAGAAAUCCAUAGGUCACUGGUUCAAAUCCGGUUCGAAGGA